CGGACGGGUGAUAAUGUCUGGGAAACUGCCCGAUGGAGGGGGAUAACUACUGGAAACGGUAGCUAAUACCGCAUAACGUCGCAAGACCAAAGAGGGGGACCUUCGGGCCUCUUGCCAUCGGAUGUGCCCAGAUGGGAUUAGCUAGUAGGUGGGGUAAUGGCUCACCUAGGCGACGAUCCCUAGCUGGUCUGAGAGGAUGACCAGCCACACUGGAACUGAGACACGGUCCAG
rnacentral:rRNA from 1 species